AUUGAACGCUGGCGGCAGGCCUAACACAUGCAAGUCGAGCGGAGAGAGGUAGCUUGCUACUGAUCUUAGCGGCGGACGGGUGAGUAAUGCUUAGGAAUCUGCCUAUUAGUGGGGGACAACAUUUCGAAAGGAAUGCUAAUACCGCAUACGUCCUACGGGAGAAAGCAGGGGAUCUUCGGACCUUGCGCUAAUAGAUGAGCCUAAGUCGGAUUAGCUAGUUGGUGGGGUAAAGGCCUACCAAGGCGACGAUCUGUAGCGGGUCUGAGAGGAUGAUCCGCCACACUGGGACUGAGACACGGCCCAGACUCCUACGGGAGGCAGCAGUGGGGAAUAUUGGACAAUGGGCGCAAGCCUGAUCCAGCCAUGCCGUGUGUGUGAAGAAGGCCUUAUGGUUGUAAAGCACUUUAAGCGAGGAGGAGGCUACUUUAGUUAAUACCUAGAGAUAGUGGACGUUACUCGCAGAAUAAGCACCGGCUAACUCUGUGCCAGCAGCCGCGGUAA
rnacentral:rRNA from 1 species